UGUGUACUCCCUCCGUUCCAAAAUACUUGACUUCCAUUUGUCCAAAAAUAGAUGUACCUAUAUACUAAAACAUGUCUAGAUACAUAUAUAUUUUGACAAAUAGAAGGCAUGUAUUGUGCAACGGAGGGAGUAGAAU
rnacentral:pre_miRNA from 1 species